CAUGCCUUGGUCUUUGUAGACAACAAGCUGGUUGGUGAUCCACUUGAGAAGGCUGCACUUAAAGGAAUUGACUGGAGUUACAAAGCUGAUGAAAAGGCCUUGCCUAGAAG